rnacentral:rRNA from 11 species
AAAUUGAAGAGUUUGAUCAUGGCUCAGAUUGAACGCUGGCGGCAGGCCUAACACAUGCAAGUCGAACGGUAACAGGAAGCAGCUUGCUGCUUUGCUGACGAGUGGCGGACGGGUGAGUAAUGUCUGGGAAACUGCCUGAUGGAGGGGGAUAACUACUGGAAACGGUGGCUAAUACCGCAUAACGUCGC